rnacentral:misc_RNA from 1 species
UUUGAUAAAUGAAAAAUUAUUGAUAAUAAUCAUAAUACCACGUACUGUGGUAAGCACGGUGUAAGAUUAUUCUUAGUCGAUUUGAAAACGAGUGCCGUCUAAAAAUUGUUCCGCUCUUGAUCUUCUAUUGUUUUCCUGUUGGUAAUUGACCGUGAAUCGGAUAAAAUUCCACGGCAACAAGUAUACAACGUUCUUCACAAUGCAGGAUUUGUACGAAAAUAAAAUUAAAA